rnacentral:rRNA from 1 species
AAAUUCGUGGACCGCAGCGAGACCCCCGAAAGCGAAGGCAUUUGCCAAGAGGGUUUUCAUUAAUCAAGAACGAAAGUCAGAGGUUGGAAGGGCGAUUAGAUACCGCCCUAGUUUCUGACCGUAAACGAUGCCAAAUUAUCAUUCCGCCAGUGGCUUUAAGUCAUUGGCGGGCGGAUGGAGGGAAAGGAAAGUUUUUGGGUUCCGGGGAAAGUUGGUUGGCAAGGCUGAAAUUUAAGGGAAUGGAGGGAGGGGCACCCCCGGGGGUGGGGCUUGGGGCUUAAUUGGAUUCACCCCGGGAACCUUCACCGGGCCAGUACUUCAUAGGGAUUGCCGGAUGGAAAGUUUUUUCAGGAUUGGAGAAAGGGGGGGGCAGGCCCGUUUUUAGUUGGUGGCUGGAUUGUUUGGUUAAAUGGGGAUAAGGAGGGGGAUUCGGAUGGUUAAAUACCCGCGGGAUGGCCGGUCCGGUCGGGUUCUUAGCUGGAUUCGAGACUCCAAGUCUCAAGAAAUGGAGCAAUAACAGGUCUGUGAUGCCCUUAGAUGUUCGGGGCCGCACGCGUGCUACAAUGAUGGUAACAGCGUGAUAUGUCCUCGCCCGAAAGGGCUGGGCAAACAGUUGAGAUAUUAUUAUGGCUGGGAUUGAGUGUUGAAAUUUUCAUUCAUGAACGAGGAAUUCCAAGUAAAUGCGGGUCAUCAAUUUGCAUUGAUUAGUAUCCAUGCCCUUUUUACACACCCCCCGUGGCUACCCGGACGCUGAUUGGUUUCCGAAG